AGCGCCCCGGCGCGCCCCCGCCGGCCCCAAGACCCGCUCGGCAGAGAAAAAACCGCCAGGAGGAAAAGUAGGUAUCUUCAGAGCAUGCCACUUUUCCGUGUGCUUUUCACCUACGCAGUAAUAAUAGCAACAGCACUUAUUAUUGCUAUUAUUAUUAUUAUUAUUAUUAUAAACAGUAUAAUAAUUUUUUCUAGUUUUUGUAGCGGUCUUGAUGAGUAUUCUGUGCUUUUAAAUUUUUUCUUUUUUUUUUUAACCCUUUGCUUUGAGCUUCAGGUUUACAGCAGCUCCUCAUGUGUAGCUGAGACAAUGCCAAGGAGUAACUACCCCCAUCCGUCCGUAUCUGCAGCAGAGCAAAUGUGGUAUAAAUGGGACAGAAGCCGACGGGAGAAGGUGUGCGAUAGGGUUAUUGGAAUUUACUAGUCUGCACAGGGAAAACCUCAUGCUGGGUUAUGUUAAAGAUUUCCUAUCCUCAUACUUGCAUUUGGUGAGAUUACCUGAUGUCUCUUGGCGAUCGUCCGGGAAGCAUCGGCACCAGCGCACACGAAGGCUGGCGCUGAGGAUGGCCAGCCGUGCAGGGCUGGAAGUACUGGUGGAUGCCAGUGAGGAUACGAGGUGCAGUUUGUGUGCACAAAAUCCCUGACAUUCAUAUUUAAAUUGCAGAGGCAAAGUCAGCCGUCAAUGUAGGCUGCAUCCAUAGGACAAGCGUUGAAUGAUCGAGGCUUGUUCAGCAGUGUGGCAGGAACGUAGUUACUUCUGUCAAAAUUUAUCAACUUGAGGUCCAAACAUCUUAUUUUAAAAUAUUAAGGGGCACAGUCAGUACUUGGAGGCUGAUUCUACUCUGUUCACUCUUCAGUUUUCUAGUGGAUCAAGCGGUGCUUCUCUGCUCAGCACAGGCAGAACUAACGCCUUUUGUGAACACCAGUCAUCAAGCAUGUUUUUUUGGUGGCUUCCUGUGCUUCCACUAAUUUCACACUGAAGCACCUGGUGACAGGUCAAGUUUAUGUCAAGUUCCCUGAAAUGUCAUUUAGGAAAAAAUUGGUAACCAAGUGCCUCAAAAAAAUCAAAAAUAAUUUUUAAUAUUUGAAUGACGCUGACAUUUUGAAACUGCAUUCUAGUCUGAGUUUCUACCAGUUUUGCAUGGUAUUAAAUAUGAUAUGAAGACAUUAAGAACUGAAGAAAACCGAAG
rnacentral:lncRNA from 1 species